CCUCUAGGUUUUUUAGGCCGUCAUUCCUCCCAAAGCUACGCUGACAGUAAUUCUCCCCGAAACAGUUUCGUUCCGACCUCUUGGCUGCUCCAGCGACCAGAGGUUUUUUUUUUUGAUUUUUCAUGGAUGCCCAAAGAAGCUAGGGGGGAGAUCACCCUCCUCUUUUCUUCCGUUGGAAGAGGGUGGGAGAUCACAGAGGAGGCC
rnacentral:lncRNA from 1 species